rnacentral:rRNA from 1 species
UACGUAGGGUGCAAGCGUUGUCCGGAAUUAUUGGGCGUAAAGAGCUCGUAGGCGGUCUGUCGCGUCGGCUGUGAAAUCCCGAGGCUCAACCUCGGGUCUGCAGUCGAUACGGGCAGGCUAGAAUUCGGUAGGGGAGACUGGAAUUCCUGGUGUAGCGGUGAAAUGCGCAGACUAUCAGGAGGAACACCGAUGGCGAAGGCAGGUCUCUGGGCCGAUACUGACGCUGGAGGAGCGAAAGCGUGGGGAGCGAACAGG